CUUGUUUCCGAGGCAAAGACACACUAAACCACCCAAAUGUCUCGGCAGAAAUCAGAUCAAUCUGGAAACACUGACUUGUCGCACGUGUCUGCACCCUGCCGAUUCAAACAGACGCUCCGCUUCAUUCAUCACGAGCCAAAUUGGCUAGAAUCUUUAAAAUGUUACUCGCUAAUCACAAUUUUC